rnacentral:rRNA from 1 species
GGAUCCAGACUUUGAUUCUGGCUCAGGAUGAACGCUAGCUACAGGCUUAACACAUGCAAGUCGAGGGGAAACGACAUCGAAAGCUUGCUUUUGAUGGGCGUCGACCGGCGCACGGGUGAGUAACGCGUAUCCAACCUGCCCACCACUUGGGGAUAACCUUGCGAAAGUAGACUAAUACCCAAUGAUAUCUCUAGAAGACAUCUGAAAGGGAUUAAAGAUUUAUCGGUGAUGGAUGGGGAUGCGUCUGAUUAGCUUGUUGGCGGGGUAACGGCCCACCAAGGCAACGAUCAGUAGGGGUUCUGAGAGGAAGGUCCCCCACAUUGGAACUGAGACACGGUCCAAACUCCUACGGGAGGCAGCAGUGAGGAAUAUUGGUCAAUGGGCGAGAGCCUGAACCAGCCAAGUAGCGUGCAGAAUGACGGCCCUAUGGGUUGUAAACUGCUUUUAUAAGGGAAUAAAGUGAGUCUCGUGAGACUUUUUGCAUGUACCUUAUGAAUAAGGACCGGCUAAUUCCGUGCCAGCAGCCGCGGUAAUACGGAAGGUCCGGGCGUUAUCCGGAUUUAUUGGGUUUAAAGGGAGCGUAGGCCGGAGAUUAAGCGUGUUGCGAAAUGUAGACGCUCAACGUCUGCACUGCAGCGCGAACUGGUUUCCUUGAGUACGCACAAAGUGGGCGGAAUUCGUGGUGUAGCGGUGAAAUGCUUAGAUAUCACGAAGAACUCCGAUUGCGAAGGCAGCUCACUGGAGCGCAACUGACGCUGAAGCUCGAAAGUGCGGGUAUCGAACAGGAUUAGAUACCCUGGUAGUCCGCACGGUAAACGAUGGAUGCCCGCUGUUGGUCUGAAUAGGUCAGCGGCCAAGCGAAAGCAUUAAGC